rnacentral:tRNA from 1 species
GGCCCCGUAGUUCAAUGGAUAGAACGAAAGUUUCCUAAACUUUAAAUCCAGGUUCGAUUCCUGGCGGGGCUA